CACACUAUUUUGGAUCACUUUAAUGCCUUGCUGAUGACAUUAUUAAGGUGUGGGUGGCACCUUACACCCCUACAGGAAAGCUCCGGCAACUCUUGAAGAGUUGGUAAAGAAAAUACAAGGUCAAGGAAUUGGUAAGCAAGCCGAUACAACCUGCUGGGAUACAGGACAGCUGGUGUCAGAAGCCUCAGCUGGAAGGAGCCAAGCACUCAUCAACGCGGAGAGGGGAAAGAAAGAAAAUCCGCAUCAGCAACUCUUAAUGUGAAAGUUUUCUUCCCAGACGACGAAGAGACACAGCAGCUGCAGAGUUGAAGCUACCAAAAUGGAAGGAGAUUGAUGGCCCCUCUGAAAUUCAACUGGGGUCCCUCGAGGAGCCUCUGGAUCUCUAUCAGAUUUUUACAUAUAUGGCCAAUAUGUGCUGUGCUUUUGCUAAAGGAAAGGCGUGGAUGGAGUCAGCAUCCCUUAAGUCGGGCUCAUGGUGACAGUUCAGAGACUCUGCAAUCUGCUCUUAGAGACAAGACAGAGAUAGGAGGGACCCAGAGCCAAGCUGUGCCAAGCCGUGCAGCUGAGCAUCUGUGAGGAUGAGCCAAGGGGCUGACCACUGCAAAUGGUUUCUUCACGAUGUCAUGGCCAGGCAGCUGGUGGCAACAGAGAGCCUCUGACAGAUGAGAAAACUGAAAUAGAGACAAGUUAAGUACCUUGCCAUUGGGCUCACAGAUGGCAAGUGGCAGAUUCGGACCACGCUGCAUUCUAAUCAACAUCCCUGCCAUGCACAGACGUCAUCCUCACCACGGCCAGCAUGCCUCCUUCUCCACCUCCGCCAGGACCUUCACCACCACUACCAGUAUAAAAGUAUUGAUUGAGCAUUCUGUUUGCUGGGCGCUUUGCGGAGUGCUCUGCAGACUGUCUCAUGCCAUAUUCACAACAACCCUAUGUUACUGAUCCUGUUAUUACCUCUACUUCACAAAUGUGGAAACUAAGCUUCAGAGAAACGAAGAAAUCUGUCCCUGCACCUGGUCGGAGGUCCACAAGAUUUGUGAUGCUUUUAAGAUCCACAGCCAAUUUUGCCUGACACCUAUGAGAAUGCAUUUAACUCCUGCGCUCCCUUUUUGGGAGAUGGCAGGUGGAGGUAUUGCCCACCGGGCAUUUCGUCAAACUGGCUCCCUGCUCCUCACCCACCAUAUUGGAAGUUUGUUGCUAGGAUGUGAGAGACCACCCCGCAGAGCUGGGAUAUGACUUUGCAUGUGGUAACUCUGCUACCACACAAUGUGCAAGACCAACUGCUGAGAUUCUGAGCUCUGGCCAAGUAACAUCCGGGAGCUUUGGCCUGACAUCUGCUGAAACUGGCCUGUAAUUCUCUUUGGUGAAGCCCCAUGCACCCCAGGUCAGUCCCUCCUGAGACGUCACCAUCCUCACCAAAGCCCUCAGAUGUCCCCUCCAGUGUGUUCCAUUUGUUCUCCUCUGACUGAACACCAGCUCUGGGGAAUGAAGGGGUGUCACAAAGAAUAUCAGGCUUGUUUUUCAAAACUUUCACUCCUGUCCGUCUCUUCUGUCAACUCCCAGACCAGGCGACCGUCAUCACAUACCGGAAUUAUUACUGUGGCCUCCUACCUGGGCCCUGCUUUCAACCUUGUCCCCCUCUGAUCUCUUCUCCACAGAACAGCCACACUGGUGUUUUUAAAGGCUAAGCUCAAUCAUACCUGUCCUCUGCUUAGAGUUCUUAGUAUUAGUUCUCCUCCCUUUUAAUUUCUUUUGGAGUCAAAUCCAACCUCCCCCCCAUCAGUGCUUCUAAGCCCCUGUGGUUUCUUUCCGGCCCCUCUCUGCCUCUUUCCCUUCUCCCAUGGUGCUCCAGGUUCGCUGGCCUUGGCUCAGUUCACUGAGAACACUGAGCUGUGGUACGGCGGCCAUACACACCUUCUGCCUCACCAUACCUGCUCUCUGACAACCCAACCCCUGCCUCUGCCCACUUUCUUCAUCUCAGCUUUAAUGUCACUUCCUCACAGACAGUCCUCUUCAUCCUUGAAUGCAACCCCCACUACUUUCUGUGGACACCACUUUUUUUUUUUCUUUCAGAGCACUUACCCAAGUUGCGAUACAAAUUUGUAUGGGGAUUGCCUGCUUAUUACCUGCCUUCCCCAGAAACCUGUAAGCUCCAUGAAGGAAAAUGAAGUUGGUUUCCUUGUCUCUGUACCCUCAGUGACUAACUCAAUUUCUGAGGCAGGAGCAGAGGCUAAAUAAAUAUUUGUUGAAUGAAUGAGCAAGUGAAUUAAUUAUUAACCAAUUACUUAAGCGAGGGGAUGAGGUCUGAUUUAAUCAUUAGGGAUGUCACACGCUUUGCUAUAUAGACAACUCCAUACGUUUUUCAUAAAUAGAUCACGAAGUAUGAGGAACAUUCUAUAAGUGGUUAAAAACAUAGCAUUUCUCUCCUCCCAUAGAAUCAAAUAAACUCUCAAAAGUCUGUCUUAUGUGUAAGGCUCUAGUUGUCUUAUGUAAUAUAGUAAUUGCUGGCUUGAAUUAAAGACAUCAUUAUUUUGGAGAGUUGCUCUUUUUCCGAUAUA